GACGAACGCUGGCGGAGUGCUUAACACCUGCCAGUCGAGCGGAGCGGCGAACGGGUGAGUAACGCGUGAGUAACUGCCCCCCUCUCUGGGAUAACAGUUGGAAACGGCUGCUAAUACCGGAUAGUGGGGGAUGACGCGCGUCCUAUCAGCUUGUUGGUGGGGUAGUGGCCUACCAAGGCGGCGACGGGUAGCAGGCCUGAAAGGGCGACCGGCCACAUUGGGCUGGUAUACGGCCCAAACUCCUACGGGAGGCAGCAGUGGGGAAUAUUGCACCAUGGGGGAAACCCUGGUGCAGCAACGCCGCGUGCGGGAUGACGGCCUUCGGGUUGGAAACCGCUUUCAGCCAUGACGCGGUAGUGGCAGAAGAAGCACCGGCUAACUACGUGCCAGCAGCCGCGGGAUUC
rnacentral:rRNA from 1 species